rnacentral:rRNA from 1 species
CCUACGGGUGGCAGCAGUGGGGAAUAUUGGACAAUGGGCGAAAGCCUGAUCCAGCCAUGCCGCGUGUGUGAAGAAGGCCUUCGGGUUGUAAAGCACUUUCAGUGGGGAAGAAAGCCUUGGGGCUAAUACCCUCGAGGAAGGACAUCACCCACAGAAGAAGCACCGGCUAACUCCGUGCCAGCAGCCGCGGUAAUACGGAGGGUGCGAGCGUUAAUCGGAAUUACUGGGCGUAAAGCGCGCGUAGGCGGUCUGAUAAGCCGGUUGUGAAAGCCCCGGGUUCAACCUGGGAACGGCAUCCGGAACUGUCAGGCUAGAGUGCAGGAGAGGAAGGUAGAAUUCCCGGUGUAGCGGUGAAAUGCGUAGAGAUCGGGAGGAAUACCAGUGGCGAAGGCGGCCUUCUGGACUGACACUGACGCUGAGGUGCGAAAGCGUGGGUAGCAAACAGGAUUAGAUACCCGGGUAGUC